rnacentral:rRNA from 3 species
UGAACCUCAGAUCAGGUAGGGAUACCCGCUGAACUUAA